AAUGGUUGACCUCGGAUCAGGUAGGACUACCCGCUGAACUUAAGCAUAUCAAU
rnacentral:rRNA from 1 species